UACAUGUGGGGCGAGCGUUGUUCGGAAUUACUGGGCGUAAAGGGUGCGUAGGCGGCAUGCCAAGUCGCUGGUGAAAGUUCGCGGCCCAACCGCGAAAUGGCCGGUGAUACUGGCGUGCUUGAGUGCGGGAGGGGUCGGGGGAACGAGUGGUGUAGCGGUGAAAUGCGUAGAUAUCGCUUGGAACGCCGACGGUGAAAACAGCUCGCUGGGGGUGUGCUGACGCUGAGACACGAAAGCCAGGGGAGCGAACGGG
rnacentral:rRNA from 1 species